UAAAAUUAUCUAUGAUGAUACAUAAGUCUGAAUAGUUUUGUCUAUUUUUUCAGGUAUUAUUUUGAUUUUGUGUUUUGGUAAAUAAUUCUGGAAUUCUUAUCCUUUUUUGCUGAAGGGAACUAGUAGCAUUGUGCAGCAAACUCGAGCAAUUGAGUGGAAACAGAUAGACACAGUGGCCAAUAAUUACUGUUUUACUGACUUUUUUCACUGAGUGUCUGGCAAACAGCUGGGAGGAGUGACUGUCUGCGGGAACACCUGCAUUCUGACCAAAAAAUAUGUCUGCAACCUCUGUGGCCAGCACUUGAGGCAUGAGAAAGCUGUUGCCUCACAUCUCCAUCCUUCACAAUGGGAAAACAGCAACAAAAAAUGGUCCUGAUACUUCUAAGGCAAUGUGAACCUUUGCCAGGAUAGAGAACAGCUUUGCAAUCAUAUUGGUUCCUACAGAUGCAUCCAAGUUGGUCCCAUGGAUCCAGGAAUAUCCAGUGAUCUCUUACUCAGUCAUCUUUACUGUCCAAGUUUUCCUUUGUCUCCCAGCUGUUGCUAACGUACCUGCAGAAGCCCUUCUUGAAUCUCAUGGUGAUGAGAAAUGAACCUGUGUGUUGGUAGUGGAUUUUUGUUGCUGUUCUUAUUGUCUCAUCUACAUCUGUUUUCCCUGACAUAUGUAAAAGAUGCUUUUGCUUAAGAUGCUGGUAAACAAAUACAUGCAAUGGAAGAAAUAUCUACAUCAGAAGCAGGUCCUUGUCAGGAUUUUUAUGCGUAGGGUUGCUCUGUAUUGCCCUUUAGGUGGGACUUUUAUCCUCAUUUUGAAGCAGACUGAAGAUUUGUCAGGGUUCUUGUUUUAGUUUGGGUUGUGAAGGCAAUUACAGUAUAUAUCUGAAUUACAAAUAGACCUUUCAGUGCAGUCAUAAUUAUGACUUCAAUAAUAAAACUGUUA